rnacentral:tRNA from 1 species
UGUCCAGGGAUGGGAAUCGAACCCACAGUGUUCCGCUUACCGGGCAGAUGCCAUGUCCACUAGGCUACCCAUAU